CAAAAUAUUAUUUAUGCCAGGGGGAGUCAAAUGGCGGCACCCAGAUAAUUUUUAUCUGGCCCUCCAACUGGUUUUUGAUGUUUAAAACCGCUCGCAAUCUGAUAUCAAAGUCCCCGCAAAGGUUUAGCGUUUUCAGCGUGAAUGUCAACCCGUUCUCACUCCUGACCGUUCUCACGCUGAAGAAGUCUCCUUCAGAACACAUCGCGAUAUUUGGCAUCAGUUCGCGUGUGCUGGAUGUUGCUGAAAAGACAAAAAGGGCCUUUUGGAAAUGGAUGAAGGAGACAGAAAGCUGCAAAGGCAAAUAAUUGCAAUGGAUUACUUGCAGAUUACUUAGUCCUUCUUUUUAGGAUCUCUACAACAUCAAACUCAACAGCUCUUUUAAGAGCCGACCCUCACAAGAGCUACUAGUGAGUCGCUGCAAACCUGCCGUGAUCAGCCCUUUCCAGAGAAGGAAGACCAGUCCUUAUAUCAAAACAAGCUCAUCGAAGUCCUUUGUUUAGGGUGAGGAAGGAACAUGACCAUCUCAUGACCAUCUCAUGCCCAAAGAAGACAGAAGUCCAUUGCAAGUGAAGUCACUAACAGAAGAUCCUAGAGGAAAAACGACUGAUGUGCAGCUACGGAGGAACACAAGAGGCAGAAAUAUGCAUGGCCAUGGCUUCUUCAUGAGUACGACCAGGACUGAAGAACGCCUGACAAUGGGAUGUUAAGACUUCUUCCUCUGGUUGAGAAAAAGCUACAGCACAUCAGUGAUCACAUCUUCUGGUCAUCAGUUGUACUGUAGAGUACAACUGAACAAACUGUUUAGAAGAAGAAGAACAUGAACAUGAUAGAGACGUGUACAGGGAAGAGCAAGAACCCAGUUCAGCUGUGAUAAUGAAUCUUUAUUUUAAACUCAAUAUCAAAUCUGUUUUCUGGAUCAUAGUUGACUGGAUGGGAUUCUGUGGCGCUCAUUUGUGCAAUAGGAGUAAAGUCUGUGAAUGGAUUAUUAUGACAUUAACGUAUUUUUGAAGACACGUUUUUAUUUAUCUUGAAUCUCAUUUGUCUUUAUGCAAAUUUCAACCUUAUGCUGUAUCCUCCAAUAAAGUGUUGUGUAAUAAAUUAUGGUGAACGUG